GACGAACGCUGGCGGCGUGCUUAACACAUGCAAGUCGAACGGGAUUUAGUAGACAGAAGCCUCGGCUAAAGAUUACUAAUGAGAGUGGCGAACGGGGGAGUAACGCGUGAGCAACCUGCCUAUGACAGUGGGAUAGCCUCGGGAAACCGGGAUUAAUACCGCAUAAAAUCGUAGAAACACAUGUUUCAACGGUCAAAGAUUUAUCGGUCAUAGAUAGGCUCGCGUCUGAUUAGCUAGUUGGUGAGAUAACAGCCCACCAAGGCGACGAUCAGUAGCCGGUCUGAGAGGAUGAACGGCCACAUUGGAACUGAGACACGGUCCAAACUCCUACGGGAGGCAGCAGUGGGGAAUAUUGCACAAUGGGGGAAACCCUGAUGCAGCGACGCCGCGUGAACGAAGAAGGUAUUCGUAUCGUAAAGUUCUGUCCUAUGGGAAGAUAAUGACAGUACCAUAGAAGAAAGCUCCGGCUAAAUACGUG
rnacentral:rRNA from 1 species